UCCAGGUUAUCCCUGGCGGUCUCCUGAGAGUGCAUCCCUUGCGGGAUUAGCAACACAGGACAAGGGUUGCGCUCGUUGCGGGACUUAACCCAACAUCUCACGACACGAGCUGACGACAGCCAUGCAGCACCUCGACUUCAGUCCCUUGCGGGAGGGGCCUUGUUUCCAAAGCCUUGCCAAAGCCGUUCGAGCCCAGGUAAGGUUCUUCGCGUUGCGUCGAAUUAAGCCACAUACUCCACCGCUCGUGCAGGCCCCCGUCAAUUUCUUUGAGUUUUAAUCUUGCGACCGUACUUCCCAGGCGGCUUGCUUAACGCGUUAGCUCCGCCACAAGAGGGGUCGAUUCCUCUUACAGCAAGCAAGCACCGUUUAGGGCUAGGACUAC
rnacentral:misc_RNA from 1 species